rnacentral:misc_RNA from 1 species
GGCCACUGUCAAGUGUCGAGGCAGAAAUUGAAUUCUUGUCUUCCCCGCAGUUGAGUCAGAAUAAGGGAAAAGAAUCAAAGCAUGCUUUCCCAUUCACUGGAUGGCAAAUUCCGCCACUUCUGUCAAGAAUCGUUACUCGUUAACCAUCUUCUUGUUCCUUGUUUUGUUCCUCUUAACCAUUUUCCUUUUCAGUAAACGCGCUCUCGAGCCUCCGCUCUCCCUCUACAGAGAUUUCUUUCCACAAACCAAUGUUCACCUUUCCACGCCCGAUUCCAUCCCUUCGGACACCCUUUACCAACUCAUAUCUCCAAUUUCUG